CUAAUACACUUGUGUCCUCCCUGU
rnacentral:siRNA from 1 species